rnacentral:rRNA from 1 species
GACGAACGCUGGCGGCGUGCUUAACACAUGCAAGUCGAACGGAGAGGCCCUGCAUUUGUGGGGUGCUCGAGUGGCGAAAGGGUGAGUAACACGUGAGUAACCUGCCCUUGACUUUGGGAUAACUUCAGGAAACUGGGGCUAUUACCGGAUAGGAGCUCCUGCUGCAUGGUGGGGGUUGGUAAGUUGCGGAGGUUGGGGAUGGACGCGCGGUUUAUCAGCUUGUUGGUGGGGUAGUGGCUUACCAAGGCUCUGACGGGUAGCUGGCCUGCGAGGGUGACAGGCCACAUUGGGACUGGGGUGCGGCCCAGAGUCCUACGGGGGGCAGCAGUGGGGAAUAUUGCACAAUGGGCGGAAGCCGGAUGCAGCAACGCCGCGUGCGAGAUGACGGCCUUCGGGGUGUAAACCGCGUGCGCCUGUGACGAAGCGUGAGUGACGGUAAUGGGUAAAGAAGCACCGGCUAACUACGUG